rnacentral:rRNA from 1 species
GAGCGCACUUGCGGUGAGCUUGCUCCCAAGAGUUAGCGGCGGAUGGGUGAGUACACGUGGGCAACCUGCCUAUAAGACUGGGAUAACUUCGGGAAACCGGAGCUAAUACCGGAUAAUUCUUUUCUACUCAUGUAGAAAAGCUGAAAGACGGUUUACGCUGUCACUUAUAGAUGGGCCCGUGGCGCAUUAGCUAGUUGGUGAGGUAACGGCUCACCAAGGCCACGAUGCGUAGCCGACCUGAGAGGGUGAUCGGCCACACUGGGACUGAGACACGGCCCAGACUCCUACGGGAGGCAGCAGUAGGGAAUCUUCCGCAAUGGACGAAAGUCUGACGGAGCAACGCCGCGUGAGUGAUGAAGGUUUUCGGAUCGUAAAACUCUGUUGUUAGGGAAGAACAAGUACGAGAGUAACUGCUCGUACCUUGACGGUACCUAACCAGAAAGCCACGGCUAACUACGUGCCAGCAGCCGCGGUAAU